rnacentral:rRNA from 1 species
AACGAACGCUGGCGGCGUGGAUAAGACAUGCAAGUCGAACGGGAUCAUUGGAGUAGCAAUACAACAGUGGUCUAGUGGCGAACGGGUGCGUAACACGUGGAUACAUUCCGGGAAGCGGGGGAUAGCCCAGGGAAACUUGGAUUAAUACCGCAUGUGGUCGAAAGACUAAAGGCAGGGACCGCAAGGCCUGCCACUUCCCGAUUGGUCCGCGGCCUAUCAGCUAGUUGGCGGGGUAAAAGCCCACCAAGGCUACGACGGGUAGCUGGUCUUAGAGGACGACCAGCCACACUGGAACUGAGACACGGUCCAGACACCUACGGGUGGCAGCAGUCGAGAAUCUUUCACAAUGGGGGCAACCCUGAUGGAGCGACGCCGCGUGGAGGAUAAGGUCUUCGGAUUGUAAACUCCUGUCAUGUGUGAACAAGGCUGUCGUGUUAAUAGCAUGGCAGAUUGAUGGUAACACAAGAGGAAGAGACGGCUAACUCUGUGCCAGCAGCCGCGGUAA